rnacentral:rRNA from 1 species
CCUACGGGGAGGCAGCAGUGGGGAAUAUUGCACAAUGGGCGAAAGCCUGAUGCAGCAACGACGCGUGAAGGAAGAAGGGUUUCGGCUCGUAAACUUCUAUCAACAGGGACGAAAGAAAUGACGGUACCUGAAUAAGAAGCCACGGCAAACUAAGUGCCAGCAGCCGCGGUAAUAAGGCGGGCGCAAGCGGUAUCCGGAAUUACUGGGUGUAAAGGGUGAGUAGGCGGCAUGGUAAGCCAGAUGUGAAAGUCUUGGGCUUAAACCGAGGAUUGCAUGUGGAACUAUCAAGCUAGAGUACAAGAGAGGAAAGCGGAAUUCCGAGUGUAGCGGUGAAAUGCGUAGAUAUUAGGAAGAACACCAGUGGCGAAGGCGGCUUUCUGGACUGAAACUGACGCUGAGGGACGAAAGCGUGGGGAGCGAACAGGAUUAGAUACCCCGGUAGUC